UUUCCAGUCGGCCAACACAACUAGAAGAAAGAGUUCUACCAACAGCACUCUGCUUCCUUCAGUGAGUGAACAGCCAGAGAAGAUACCUAGGCUUGAAUCUGAGCUGCCUCUGGAAGAACUGGACGACUUGCCUCCGCUGUCUCCGUUACAGCCAGUUUCAGAGGAGGAGGCUAUUCAGAUUGCUGCAUACUCCCCGCUGCCCCUUUCCUCCUCCACACUUGCAGAUUACGUAGACCAUUCCGAGACUCUACAGAAGCUGGUGCAGCUUGGUAAGUUUCCAACCUGUCACACAAUGUGUUAGUCUGUUCACCCAUGGUGCACUGCUCUCUAUUUGCCGUGUUAUAUCCCCUGACCUUCCUCCCCAAGCCCCCUGUUCCCAUCUGGAUUAUUCUCUCAGCCUGUAUCAUAACUUUCUAAAUAUGCUGGCUAGGAGGCUAUCCUUGAAUCUAGGUAAUCAAAGGCAGCCAGAGCGUUUUAUUGCACACUUCCAUCUGGUCCUAUCUGUAAUCUAGCACUUUGUUGAACCUACUUGAUUUUCUCAGUAAUGAUCCUAGGAAGUUGACAGGAAUUACAUGGGUAAGAGAUUGAAGAAUUCCAGUUUCCCACAUACAACCAUACUAAGUUCCCCAUUUUUAGCUUGUACCUCAGCUUGAGCAUCUUAAUCUCUGGGGACUCAAUUUGUGAGCCUUUAAGGUUAUUUUUCUUGUUUAAUUGAGCAUUGAGUAUUAUCUUAG
rnacentral:lncRNA from 1 species